GACGAACGCUGGCGGCGCGCCUAACACAUGCAAGUCGAACGAGAGAGAGGAAGCUUGCUUCCUUAAUCGAGUGGCGAACGGGUGAGUAACGCGUGAGGAACCUGCCUCAAAGAGGGGGACAACAGUUGGAAACGACUGCUAAUACCGCAUAAUGUCAUUUGGGGGCAUCCCUGGAUGACCAAAGAUUUAUUGCUGAAAGAUGACCUCGCGUCUGAUUAGCUGGUUGGUGAGGUAAUGGCUCACCAAGGCGACGAUCAGUAGCCGGACUGAGAGGUUGAACGGCCACAUUGGGACUGAGAUACGGCCCAA
rnacentral:rRNA from 1 species